rnacentral:rRNA from 1 species
GAUGAACGCUGGCGGCGUGCCUAAUACAUGCAAGUCGAGCGAACAGACGAGGAGCUUGCUCCUCUGACGUUAGCGGCGGACGGGUGAGUAACACGUGGAUAACCUACCUAUAAGACUGGGAUAACUUCGGGAAACCGGAGCUAAUACCGGAUAAUAUAUUGAACCGCAUGGUUCAAUAGUGAAAGACGGUUUUGCUGUCACUUAUAGAUGUAUCCGCGCCGCAUUAGCUAGUUGGUAAGGUAACGGCUUACCAAGGCAACGAUGCGUAGCCGACCUGAGAGGGUGAUCGGCCACACUGGAACUGAGACACGGUCCAGACUCCUACGGGAGGCAGCAGUAGGGAAUCUUCCGCAAUGGGCGAAGGCCUGACGGAGCAACGCCGCGUGAGUGAUGAAGGUCUUCGGAUCGUAAAACUCUGUUAUUAGGGAAGAACAAAUGUGUAAGUAACUAUGCACGUCUUGACGGUACCUAAUCAGAAAGCCACGGCUAACUACGUG